GCGCUCGUAGCUCAACUGGAUAGAGCACCAGCCUCCGAAGCUGGGGGUUGCCCGUUCAAAUCGGGCCGGGCGCA
rnacentral:tRNA from 1 species